UGCAAACAAAAUCACCAUUUUCGUGGCUCGAGACUCGUCGGUUUCUUCGAGACUCAACGAGAAUCAGGCUAGUCUAGCAGCCAUGUAAUUCGCUUAUCUGGCUGUUUAUCGGUGAUAUUACGACGGCGGUAGCUGCUGGAAAACGCCAGUGCAGCCAACUGUUUCCAUUCGCGAGCAGCGAACGCGGUAAUAAUCGUUGAAGAUAUUUUUCAGACUGGAGCGCGAAAAAGAGAACACAAAGGGGAAUUAAAAGACGUUCAAACUUUUGAGAAAGAUUUGUUAAUGACGCGUUAUUACCAGGUUAGCGAUUAUCAAUUAAUCACGGAGGAAUAUCGUUAUCGAAACUCAAGUAGAAGUUGGCAGAGAUGUUUUUCCGAAUGGGACAUGAAACCUAAUAAAAAGAGAACAAAGUGAGAAGGAUAAGAGACUCUAAAGUCUUUAAGAGAAAUACAUUGAUGUCUCGUUAGUAUCAAGUUAGCGAUUAUCAAUUAACCACGUAGGAAUAUCGUUAUCGAAACUCGAGUGGAAGCUGACAAUGA
rnacentral:misc_RNA from 1 species